GAGGCGAAGGCGAGCAGGGGAGGGGCCAAGCCGAGGGGACGCCUCUCGCCCCAGCCUUCGAGGCCGGAGCGCUCUGGGUGGGCGGCAAUGGCGGGAGUUGAGCUCAGCCACAAGCAAGUCACCUGGAACAACAAGUGUUGGCUAUCCCUCCCAAUUUGGUGUCAUCUGCAAACUUGAUGAUCGUGCCUUCUAACCCUUCAUCUAAGUCAAUAAAGAUGUUGAACAGAACCGGGCCCAGGACGGAACCCUGCGGCACUCCACUCGUCACUUCUUUCCAAGAUGAAGACGACACAUUGGUGAGUACCCUUUGGGUUCAUUCGCUUAGCCAAUUACAGAUCCACCUAACCGUAGUUUUGCCUAGCCCACAUUUGACUUCCUUGUUCGCCUGAAGGUCGUGGGGGACCUUGCCGAAGGCCUUACUGAAAUCCAGGUACACUACAUCCACGGCAUUCCCUGCAUCGACCCAGCUUGUAACUCUAUCGAAAAAAGAGAUCAGAUUCGUUUGGCAUUACUUGUUUUUGAUAAAUCCAUGUGGACUAUUAGCAAUGACUGCAUUCGUUUCUGUGUUUGCAGACCACUUCCUUAAUGAUCUUUUCCAGAAUCUUGCCUGGUAUCAAUGUGAGCUGAAUGGACGGUAAACAUUUGGGUCGUCCUUUUUCCCUUCUUGAAGAUAGGGACCACAUUUGCCCUCCUCCAAUCUGCUGGGACCUCUCCCGUUCUCCAAGAACUCUCAAAGAUGAUUGCCAGUGGUUCUGAAAUGACUUCCUCUAGUUCCUUCAAUACUCUUGGAUAUAGUUGAUCUGUCCCUGAGGACUUGAAUUUGUUUUAGGGUGGUCAGGUAUUCCUGGAUGACUUCCUUCCCUAUUUGGAGUUGGAUUUCCCCCAAUCCUUCAUCCACUCCAUGUUGCUGAGGAUGAGGAUGAUAUAAGGACUCAAGGCACCUAACAGCAACUUGCGUGUCAAUAUGGAAAUAAGCAAUUUUUAAAAAUCCACUUUUCCAUGAAGCAUAAACUCAAUGAAAUAUAUUUAAAAUAAUAAUUAAGACUGUACAAUCCCACCCCCCACAACCCACAAACAACAACCACAGCAGCCUGCCCCUCAGUCUUCACUAAAUGCCUGGUGACAGAGGUACAUUUUCAUCUGCCUGGGAAAGGCAAGCAGGGACUGGGUCAUCCUGGUCUCUCUUGGGAGGGAGUUCCAGGAACUGGGAGAAGCCACCAAAAGCCAUUUCCCUUGAUCCCACCCCCCAUGAGUCUGAGAGGGUGAUGGGACAGAGAAGCCACUCAUAGGUAUCUUGGAGGACCAUUUGUUGCACAUGGGGUUAUGGUAGUGUCAGAGAAGAGUUCUACAUGGUGAUCAAGGUUACUACAAGGUAUCCCAGGUAGUAUUCCUUGUUUUGGUGUUUGUAGUGGGAACACCUUCUUCAGGUAAUUGGUUCUUCUCUGUUAAUUUAGAUGUAACUUAGUAUUCCAGUAGGAGUUAAGUCUCUGGCACUACAUUUACAUGUAUAAAAAGAACAAUAACAUACAUAAAAUAGAUAUGCCACAGCACCCCUAUUAUUGCACUAUAUUAACAUUAAAUCAAUACAUAACUAAUACAAAAUGAUCAAAGUAAUGUUCAUAUGACUUACAUUUCAGAAGGCAAUCACUGGCUCUGCUACAGAAUAUUCUAUUGCAAGCAAUUGCUCAUAAUCCUAGUAGACUUUAAAUACAUGUUACAAGUAACAAGUGAAAUGAAGUUUGUCAUUAAGACCCCGAGGAAACAGAGUUUGAAAUUUAAAAAUCCAGAAAGCUUCACUUUGGAGAAGUAGUUUCUUCAUAUCUGAAUGAGGUUUGGUAUGUAAUUUUUCCAAACAUGAGGAGAUUGAUGUCUCCCAUUUGCAAUUUAUAUGGAUACUGGCAUUUAUUCACAAUAGAGACAAGUUGUACCUUUAUAUGGUGUAUAUAAGUAAUAAACCUGUCAUAUGAUAACAUAUUUGAUGUUUCAAAAAUAACAAUAACAUAAUAUUUUGUGUAUCUCAGUUAUAGAUAUCUGUGUUCCAAAAAUACAGAGAAGCCUCUUGCCGGAAGAUCUCUGAGUUUUCACAGGCUCUUACAAAGAGGAGACAGGAGUGAACAUCAUGUGGACACCUCUGCACUUCUGAUGAAAAUAGCAGAGUCUAUGCAGCUCUGUGUUGCAGCAGUCUUAGAGUUGCCCCCACCCUGUCAGGUCAUUUGGGAAUGGUGACUCCUUAGCCUUUUUGGUCAACUUCCUUUUGAUUUGGUGAAGGCAGAGUUGACUUUCUUGGAAGGUGCAUCUACAUGAUAAAAUUCAUGUGAUUUGAUGUCACUUUAAUCCUCAUGUAGAAUCAUGGCAUUGGUAGUUUUAGCCUUUAGCCUUUUCUGCCCAUGAGUGCUAGUGCCUCUCCAAACUACAGCUCCCAAGAUUUCAUAGCAUGGAACCAUGGCAGUUCAAGUGAUGUCAAAUUGCAUUCACUCCACAGUGUACGUUAGGCAUCCGCAAACUGCAGUCCUCCAGCUGUUUGGACCUCCAACUCCCAGAAGCCCUUGCCAGUUUGUUCAAUGGUCAGGAAUUCUGGGAAUUGGAGGACCAAACAGCUAGAGGGCUGCAGUUUGAGGAUGCCUGGUGUAGAUGUAUCAUUGAAGACCACUGAGUUUCAAGGGUUUCUAGAAGCAAUGUUUUCAAGGCUUUAGCCUACAUGCAGAGAGUCAGUGGGGUGUUAUGGUUUGACUGUGAGUCAGGAGUCUAGGUUUGAAUCCUUGCUCAGCCAUGGAAACCCAUCCUUGCUUGCCAUGGAAACCUUUAGAUAAGUUAUACUCUCUGAGAGGGAGGCAAAGACAGACCCCCACUGAACAAAUAUUGUCCUUGGUAGAUUAAUAGGUCUCCGGAAGUCAUAAAUGAAUUGAAGGUAAACAGUAAUCAGCCUAAAUAUCUCAAAAGCACCAGAUCUCAUUUGUCAUGGAAUAUAACCUGGAUCAUCCCUGUUUGUUACUUGAAUGGGAGACUGCCAAAGAAUAAAUGGUGCUCUAGCCUAUCCUUCAGAGGGAGGAACUGGCAAAGCCACCUUCAAGCUUUCUUUACUUGAAGAAAAGCAUGAGGUUGCCAUAGGAUGAAAGGUGACUUGAAGGACUGUGUGUGCAUAUAUGCACAUAGGGGCUGCAGGGAAUAAAAUGCAUAUUGCCUUAGGGGAAGUUUGCUUUUGCAACAUGUGAACCAUACUAAAAUAAGGAGCCAUCCAUCAUCAGUUGAUCUUCAUGUGUACAUUUGAUUAUCCACAUUAUUGACUUUUGCAGAUUUCAUUAAAUGGGUGGAGAUUCCACCUUCUCUGUUAGUCCAGACAUUUAAAAAAAACAAAACAAUCCAAAGUGCUAAACUUGUUUUGAGCUGUAGUUUAGCACCUUUGAUAGCCUCUUUGGACCUUACAUUAAACCCUGAUCUGACACAAAGUGAACUUAUUUGAGGAUAGGAUUCAGCACCUUGGAUAGCUCUUUCAGAGCUCCCAUCAAACUCUGGCAUCACCAGCUGUGGAUGGGAGCAAUGAAAGUGCUCUGCAGCAUGGCCUAAAUGUUUAAAAGUUUCCUAUUCCUACACCAGAGCCAGUGUGAUGUACUGGUUUUUGCUUUGGACUCUAAUACUGAAGAACAGGGUUUGAAUUGCCACUUGGCCAGAAAAACUCACUGGGUGACCCUAGGCAAGUCACAAUUUCUCUGCUUUAGAACUUUCCUGGUAUUGAUACCUAGCAGAGGAGUCCGUAGCUGCUCAAGUUCUCUGUACCUCACAUUUUGAAGAUGGGCAAAGCAUUUGCUUGCCCCAAGUCUUCUGGGAUUUAAUCUGUUCCCCGGGAAGACUGAAAGAUAAUAAAUUAGCAGCCCUGACCAUGGUUUUUGCAGAUCUCAUUCACAGGGCUAUUACAAAUGAAAGUUGUAUUCAGGACAAGAGGCCUUCAUCAGUACUGAAUAAGGAGAAACAAAACCGUUCCCAGUUGGCAAGGAGAUACAACAAGGCUGCACUUUAUUACACUGCCUAUUUAACUUGUACACUGAACAAAAUAUACAUAUAGCUGGAUUAGAUUUAGAAGAAGGAGGCAUAAAAUUGGUGGAACAUUAAUAAUUUAAAUGGUGCAGAUGACACCCUAUUACUAGCAGAAAAUAGCAAAGACUUGGAAUGAUAAUUGAAAAAAACCAGGGAAGAAAAUGUGCAAAGGCAAGUUUACAGGCGAACAUUAAACAAAAAGAAUUAUUGCAGAUGAUUUACAUACAUUUAAAGUUAACUGUAAGGACUUUAAAAUGACCAUACUUUGACUCUGUCAUAAAUCAGAAUGGAAAUUGCAGUAAAACAAAUCAAGAUGACUAAAAAUGGAAGUGCAGCUGUGAAAGAACUAGACAAAAUUUUCAAAUUUAUCAUUGAACACCAAAGCCAGAAUUGUCUAUGCCAAUUUCUAUGUAUAGUAUUGAAAGCUGUACAGUAAGGAAAACUGAUAGGAAGAGAAUCUAUUCAAUUUAAAUGCAUUGCUGGUGGAGAGCUCUGUAAAUACCCUAAAUUCCCCGAAAGACAAAUAAACAGAUCUGAAAACAGUACAAGCCUAAACGCUCCCUAGAAGCAAGAUGACUAAGCUUAGACAGUCAUAUUUUGGUUAUAUCAUCAGAAGACAUGAUUCAUUAAAAAGGCAACAACACUUAGGAAGUGGAAGGAAGAUUUCCUCAAACUAGGAAACCAUGGUACUAAGAAUGAAAGAUCUGGGUAGGGCUGUGAGUGACAGGAAGACUUGGUGAUCUGUCAAUCAUAGGGUUACCAUAAUUUGGAUGAGUUAACAACAACAACAACAACAACAACAACAACAACAACAACAACAACAACGUAAGUAAAGAAUAUGUAUCUUUACUUUAAAAAUGUUUUAAGAUUCAUCUUACAGGAUUUUUUAAAAAAAGUAUUCAAUUAGCAUAACAAAACUGGAAGUGCAAUGCCACUCCGUGACAAGUCCUACUAAAUCAAGUUAUACAGAGACAAGUGUGAAUAGCAAGUUGGCAAUUGUGGUGGGUCUGAGGAAUGGUUUUGUGCAUAUGGGACUCUGCAGGCUGCAUGGACAUCCAAAAAGGAAAAAAUGUAGCGGAAGAUCUGGUUUCAAAAAGCAGAUACUUCUUCAUUACAGGGUUAAACAGUGCACAAAGACCUGUAAUCUGUUUAAUAAGGGAACGACUAUUCCUGGAGUCUUGUAAGAAAUGCAAUUUGUCCUCUUUUUAUUUUUCAGAGAAAGGAAUGGUUUGGGGAGCACAGGUCAAGUCCUGCCAAAAAAGCCUUAAGGUCCACAUUCGGUGCCAGUGCUGUACUGCUCAUAUCAUUAUAUAGCAUUACACUGACAAAAUAUCUGUUUCCUGGGAAGCUAUUCUACUCCCCAAUUAGCAAAAUAAGCAAAUGCUCUUCAUUCUCAGCAGGCAGCUGGAUUAGUUCACAAGACUGUUAUUUUAAUGAACUUUGAGUUCAUUUGUCACAGAAAUCCCGAACAGAGGAUUCUAGGCCUUGACAAUUUCAGGUGGGCAACAAGCACACAAGCAAAACCUCUAAUUCAGAAACUGUAAAGUAGUCUCCAAACAUUUGUUAGGAUGGAUCAGCUGUGAUGCUUGUAAAAUAUUCUGAACCUCGCACUUGUUCAAUGACUAGUUCAAAUCAGAGGUGCAUGCUGCUUAAUUUCUCAUGGGGCAGAGCUCAUGAUUUAGAAUACCAAUGCUAGCUUUUAAUCAAAUUUUCCCUUAGUACAUUAGCCACAAAUCUCUUUUUAAAAAAAAGGGGGGGGGGGAAAGAUUGUAGUGUUGAGAUCUAGCUUCUAAAACACGUUCACAGUUACACAGAAAAUUUUAUUUCAUGCUUCCUCCACCUAAUUCUUCAAGACCACAACAUAUGAUUGUAAAGCUGUUCAGCAGUGGAACUCUCUGCCUCAGACUGUGGUGAAGGCUCUUUCUCUGGAGGCUUUUAGACAGAGGCUGGAUGGCCAUCUGUCAGGGAUACUUUGAAUAUGCUUUUCCUGGCAAGGGGUUGGGCUAAAUGGCCCAUGUGGUUUCUUCCAACUCUGAUUCUAUAUACGCAAACUUAGCCUUUUGGGCCCAUUGUAUACAAGAGUGUAAUAAAAUCAUAUCCCUUAUGAAAAUGACAAAAUCAAGGUUUGCCUUUUGAAUUUUAAAAAUUAUUUUCAAGCCGUGAAUGAUUGAAUGUGUGAAUAUAGAGGAUAGUGGCGGGCUGUGGUGCAGGCUGGAAAGCAAGCCAGCGCAACAAAUCACUCUGACCAAGAGGUCAUGAGUUCGAGGCCAGCCCGUGCAUGCAUCUUGUCUCUGUAUCUGUUAUAUGUUAUGGCAUUUAAUGUUUGCCUUUAUGUGUGCAAUGUGAUCCGCCCUGAGUCCCCUUCGGGGUGAGAAGGGCAGAAUAUAAAUGCUGUAAAUAAAUAAAUAAAUAAAUAAAUAAAUAAAUAAAUAAAUAAAUAA